GCCGCGGGAGGGAGGGAUAACGAGGUAGAGGGGGCCGGGACUUCGGGAGGAGGAGGUAACACUGGAGGAGAGGUGGUAACAGGGGGCUGGGUUAGGGCGGUGAGGGCAGAGAUUAGGGACGGCAAAUCGGCGGCGGGAGGGAGGGAUAACGAGGUAGAGGGGGCCGGGACUUCGGGAGGAGGAGGUAACACUGGAGGAGAGGUGGUAACAGGGGGCUGGGUUAGGGCGGUGAGGGCAGAGAUUAGGGACGGCAAAUCGGCCGCGGGAGGGAGGGAUAACGAGGUAGAGGGGGCCGGGACUUCGGGAGGAGGAGGUAACACUGGAGAAGGGGUUGGAGAGGUGGUAACAGGGGGUUGGGUCAGGGCGGUGAGGGCAGAGAUUAGGGACGGCAAAUCGGCCGUGGGAGGGAGGGGUAACGAGGUAGAGGGGGCUGGGACUUCGGGAGGAGGAGGUAACACUGGAGGAGAGGUGGUAACAG